rnacentral:siRNA from 1 species
UGGGUUUCGGGUACUCAGUGG